GGAAUAGUUCAAAGGUUAGAGCAUUCGGCUUAUAUCCGAAAAGUUACAGGUUCAAGUCCUGUUUCC
rnacentral:tRNA from 1 species